UCGCGGCUUAUCACCGGCAGUCCCCUUAGAGUGCUCAACUAAAUGGUAGCAACUAAGUGCGAGGGUUGCGCUCGUUGCGGGACUUAACCCAACAUCUCACGACACGAGCUGACGACGGCCAUGCAGCACCUGUGUUCAGGUUCUCUUUCGAGCACUCCCACAUCUCUGCGGGAUUCCUGACAUGUCAAGGGUAGGUAAGGUUUUUCGCGUUGCAUCGAAUUAAUCCACAUAAUCCACCGCUUGUGCGGGUCCCCGUCAAUUCCUUUGAGUUUUAGCCUUGCGGCCGUACUCCCCAGGCGGUCAACUUCACGCGUUAGCUUCGUUACCAAGGAAUUACUUCCCCGACAACCAGUUGACAUCGUUUAGGGCGUGGACUAC
rnacentral:misc_RNA from 1 species